rnacentral:rRNA from 1 species
CCUACGGGUGGCAGCAGUGAGGACUAUUGGUCAAUGGGCGUAAGCCUGAACCAGCCAAGUCGCGUGAGGGAUGAAGGUUCUAUGGAUCGUAAACCUCUUUUAUCAGGGAAUAAAGUGUGGGACGUGUCCUAUUUUGUAUGUACCUUAUGAAUAAGGAUCGGCUAACUCCGUGCCAGCAGCCGCGGUAAUACGGAGGAUCCGAGCGUUAUCCGGUUUUAUUGGGUUUAAAGGGUGCUUAGGCGGCCUUUUAAGUCAGCGGUGAAAGUCUGUGGCUCAACCAUAUAAUUGCCGUUGAAACUGGGGGGCUUGAGUAUGUUUGAGGCAGGCGGAAUGCGUGGGGUAGCAGUGAGAUGCUUAGAUAUCACGCAGAACCCCGAUUGCGAAGGCAGCCUGCCAAGCCAUGACUGACGCUGAUGCACGAAAGCGUGGGGAUCAAACAGGAUUAGAUACCCGGGUAGUC